rnacentral:rRNA from 1 species
ACUGCUGCCCAGUGUCAAGGUUAAACGGCCGCGGUAUUCUGACCGUGCAAAGGUAGCAUAAUCACUUGUUCCUUAAUUAGGGACUAGCAUGAAUGGCAAGACGAGGAUUUAACUGUCUCUUACUUCUAAUCAGUGAAAUUGACCUUCCAGUGAAGAGGCUGGAAUAACACAAUAAGACGAGAAGACCCUAUGGAGCUUUAAUUAACUAGCUUAACUCUAAAUAUCAACCCCUAAUGGAUUAAAACCAAAACUAUAGGCUAGCAAUUUUGGUUGGGGUGACCUCGAGAACAAAACAACCUCCGAAUGAUUAUAGCACAGACACACAAGUCAAAGCACACAUAAACCUAAUUGACCCAACCCUACUUUGACCAACGGACCAAGUUACCCUAGGGAUAACAGCGCAAUCCUAUUUAAGAGUCCAUAUCGACAAUAGGGUUUACGACCUCGAUGUUGGAUCAGGACACCUGAAUGGUGCAGAAGCUAUUAAGGUUCGUUUG